rnacentral:rRNA from 1 species
UGGGGAAUAUUGGACAAUGGGCGAAAGCCUGAUCCAGCCAUGCCGCGUGUGUGAAGAAGGCCUUUUGGUUGUAAAGCACUUUAAGUGGGGAGGAAAAGCUUAUGGUUAAUACCCAUAAGCCCCGACGUUACCCACAGAAUAAGCACCGGCUAACUCUGUGCCAGCAGCCGCGGUAAUACAGAGGGUGCAAGCGUUAAUCGGAAUUACUGGGCGUAAAGCGCGCGUAGGUGGUUAUUUAAGUCAGAUGUGAAAGCCCCGGGCUUAACCUGGGAACUGCAUCUGAUACUGGAUAACUAGAGUAGGUGAGAGGGGAGUAGAAUUCCAGGUGUAGCGGUGAAAUGCGUAGAGAUCUGGAGGAAUACCGAUGGCGAAGGCAGCUCCCUGGCAUCAUACUGACACUGAGGUGCGAAAGCGUGGGUAGCAAACAGGAUUAGAUACCCUGGUAGUCCACGCCGUAAACGAUGUCUACCAGUCGUUGGGUCUUUUAAAGACUUAGUGACGCAGUUAACGCAAUAAGUAGACCGCCUGGGGAGUACGGCCGCAAGGUUA